rnacentral:rRNA from 1 species
UCGAACGAGCUUGAGAGCUUGCUUUUUAAGCUUAGUGGCGAACGGGUGAGUAACGCGUGAGGACCUGCCUCAAAGAGGGGGACAACAGUUGGAAACGACUGCUAAUACCGCAUAAGCCGGCAUCGGAAAAGGAGCAAUCCGCUUUGAGAUGGCCUCGCGUCCGAUUAGCUAGUUGGUGAGGUAACGGCCCACCAAGGCAACGAUCGGUAGCCGGACUGAGAGGUUGAACGGCCACAUUGGGACUGAGACACGGCCCAGACUCCUACGGGAGGCAGCAGUGGGGAAUAUUGCACAAUGGGGGAAACCCUGAUGCAGCGACGCCGCGUGGAGGAAGAAGGUCUUCGGAUUGUAAACUCCUGUUGUUGAGGAAGAUAAUGACGGUACUCAACAAGGAAGUGACGGCUAACUACGUGCCAGCAGCCGCGGUAAAACGUAGGUCACAAGCGUUGUCCGGAAUUACUGGGUGUAAAGGGAGCGCAGGCGGGAAGACAAGUUGGAAGUGAAAUCCAUGGGCUCAACCCAUGAACUGCUUUCAAAACUGUUUUUCUUGAGUAGUGCAGAGGUAGGCGGAAUUCCCGGUGUAGCGGUGGAAUGCGUAGAUAUCGGGAGGAACACCAGUGGCGAAGGCGGCCUACUGGGCACCAACUGACGCUGAGGCUCGAAAGUGUGGGUAGCAAACAGGAUUAGAUACCCUGGUAGU